AACAGAAUUUGAAAGCAGCCGCCGCCGCGACCUGGACCAAUGAUCUGGGCAGAGCGGCGGGGAAGUUUUGGCUCGGGGUGUCUGGCGCCCGUUACGAAUGCCAGCCUCGCUCUCCCGGCCCCACGUGGAGCCCCCGCACUCCCUCCGGCCCGGGGGGCUGCCUCGGCCCCGGGCUCCCCCGGCCUGCCAGGGCGAUUCCCUGGCCCUUCGCUGAAACAGAAGCAGCAGAAAAGGUUUUUCGACCAGCAUAAAUGAAAAAAAAGGCUGGUUUUUUUUUGUGUCAUUAAGCCGGGCUGGCCGGUGGUGCUCAGAAGCAUGCAGCUGGAGGAAGCGGCGGCGGGCUCUGGCUCCGGACGAUGCGGGGAAGGAGCCGCGGUUCGGGGACCUCCCUGGCCACGCUCCAGGGCAGCCUGAGCAACCCUGCCUGCAGCCUGCAGUCUCCCAUGCCUGCCUACGCUGGGUUUGACCGGAGGAGAGGUCAACCAUCCUAGAACCUGCCAGAAACACGAGAAAAACCCGCUGGAAACAGUGAGCUUUGUUGCAAUAUGAAAAUCAAAUGCAAAGCUUGGUGGGUAUUUUUAGCUGUUUAAGGCUGAACAGGUGUUUGAAAGGUCAGAUGUGAGUUAUUGGAAAAAAAAACAAAAAAAACUCUUGAGAACCUGGCAGCAUGGUGUUGUUGCUCCCGUGGCACUGGAUAGCCGUGGCGUGGCAGCCCUCGGCCAUUCGCACCACGCUGCGGUGGUCAGCCCCCAUCUGAUGGGUGCUUCGGCUUGCCAGCCCCACCGAGCCCUCCCCCCCGGCGCGCGCCACCCGCGGCGGCAGCACCCAACCGGGGAGCGCAUCGUUGGCUUUGGGUGCUCGUCGGUCCCGAGGCAGGCAGGGGUUACGGGAUGUGGGAACGGCCUGGGUCGGCUUGGAGCUCGUCUGGCCGGGCUGGCGUCGUGUGCGUCAACAGUGUGUGCACAAGGCAGUCAUGAGUGUCUGGGGAGGGGGGGGGUGAAUGUGGAAAGGUUGACUUCCGAUGGACGCGGGGCUCUGUGGCGGUGAGGCUUUCACAUGGCUUUUUCCAUGAGAAAAAUUGUUUUUAUUUUCCUUUUCAAGGAAUAAAGGAAGUUUGUCAUCCUUAAAACAACACUGCAUGUGGUUUUAAUUAGUUACUAAAGCAAAAAUUUAAGAGCACAGAAAGAAAGGGCCUGUCUCUUGGGGAAGACCCAGAUGAUGUGUCUUUAGUGGACCUGGGCCGUGACUACCCUGGACCUGGCCAUGGCCAACCCAGACGACGGCCAACCUGGACCAUGACCACCUUCAACUUGGCCAUGACCAACCUGGGCCACGACCACCUUUGAUCAUGGCCAUGGCUGGCAGCCUGGGCCAUGACCACCUUUGACUUGGCCGUGGCCAACCUAGCCCUGGCGAUGGCCAGGCUCAUGCCCAAAGGCGAGACCCUUGGCUCUGCGCCGCUGCAUGCUGCCGGCAUGGCAGCGGCUCUCUUCCCGAGGUCACUGGGUUCCGGCAGGCGAUGAGCUCCUUCCAACAGGAGUCACACCAAAGCUAAACGGAGAGCACGAGGUGUGACGACUUGCCCGCACAGGCCGGUUGGCUCCCGAACGCCAAUGGGACCAAAGAGCCAUGGGCAGAGCGUGGCCGGCAGCUGCCAGAGCCUCGGCUGGGCAAUAAAGCCUUUUUUUUUUGAGUUAAAGAAGCCCCAAAAAUAGCACCUGAAACCAAUAAACUUCCCUUUCAGGAACUUCUGUAAUUUGAAACACACACAAGAACAAAAAAAAAAAAAAAUCCAGAAUUUUUUUGAAGUUGUUUGUCAAGGAGGACUUUUUGGGGUUGUUUUUAAAUACAUUUCAGCUGAUGGGUGCCGGGGUGCGCGAGCACUUGGCACAGCAGCUCCCAGCACGGGCUGUGGCUUCCCGGGGACUUCUCAAUCUGCUUUUCCCUCCAAUCUCUUCCUGCCUUUCAGCCUUCCCAGCUGACGCACGGUCCCACCGCAUUGCGUCACGCAGCCCAAACUCCGGCCACCCAGCUGGUAUUUCGGAAUAAAUGGCUAAAAAUAUCCCCCCACAGACACACACAGACACACACACGCCGUGCCUGGCGCACAGGACGGGCCAGCAGCUCAUCGCCUUUGAGCAAAAGGGAAAAAAAAAAAAUAUCAAGCACGGGGCCCACCACCACGCUGACCGCUUGGUUCGUGCCUGCCGCAUCGCCGCAGACCUUCAAAACGGGAAUUAAACGGGACGCCAGGCAAGGAGCGGGGGGAAGCAGCGCCGGCCCGGGGAUGCGGGUGCGAUCGCCUCGGGAAGCAUCGGCUGCUCCUGCAGGUCCCGCCUUGCCCCUGCCCGCCCCGUUUUUGGCAUGCAACGGGCUCCCUCCCUCCGUGACAACCGUAUCGAUCCUCUUAUUUAUCAGCCUUUAAGACAAUUUAUUGGCGUCUCCCGAAAAAAGCCUGCGCGCCCUGCUCCAAGUGCCAGCCCCACUGACUUUAGGGAGCGCUGCCAUCACCUCUCACCUGCUCCUUUCACGCCAGAAGCCGCACUGGAGGAAUCUCACCAGAAUAUCGCUGCAAACCGCGGCUGAUGCCGUCGGUUACCUGCCGUCUAUUACCGGCGGUGAAAUCAAAGCAAGAGGAGCAAGCGGGGGACAGGCAGGGCUGGAAGCAUCCCCUUCCCGCUCCCCCGGGGGCUUGGCCACCAGACAGCGGGGAGGGCUUUGAGAAGGGGGCAGAAAUGGGACAGACGGCCAAGGCAGAAGCGAGGUGAGACGGUAAUCUUUACAAGAAGAUUUUGAUUAAAAUUAAAAAUCUUUAAAAUAAAAUGUAAAAUAAUAAAAUCAAAAUGACAAAAAUUCAUAAAAAUAAUGUAAAAUUAAAAAUACUAAUAAAAUAAACCCCCAUGCAUCCCCCAAAUUUUUCAACAACUAUGAAAACCACCCAGGGACACACAGCACCCUGCCAGCACCGGGAGGUGCCCAGCGCUUGGGUUUGAGCCCAUGGAUGCAGCCCGUGUCUACAGAGCCCCAAAAAUACAUCUGUGCCCAUAAAUAUGGGGAAAAGAAGGAAGAAAACCCCGAAGCUCUCCCAGCUGGGGCUGCAGAGGUGCUGCUUUUGGGUUUGGAUGUGCUCGAGGCAACAUCUUGCAAAGCAGCUUCAUUUCACAGACGCAUUUUAAUGUCCCGGGAGCCUCCGAGCAGAAGGAGACCCUGGGUACGCGCCUGCGCCCUGAAUCUGGGUAAGAACUGGUGAUAAAUCAGCAAAUAUCCCCUUCCCCAGCCCUUCCUCAGGUGAUCAGGCCCGAAGAAAGAUCCCCCAAAGAAAACAGCACUCAGGACAAAUAGUUGGAAGUUUUUAUUCAUAUAAAACUCAAAUUAAGAACAUAAAAGAUUGCAUCUUAAAAAAAAAAAAAAAAAAAAAGAUCUGCAAUUAUUUACAGCAGUAUUGCACGAGUAGAGUGGCAAUUACCCUGUCCAAAAUUCAUCAGUGCAAAACACAAGUAAGCCAGGGAAAUUGCAGUAAAAAUGCUACAUACGCUGGGUCCUGUGAAACAAGUUAGUAAUUCAUCAGCACAUCGGCGUGCGCUGGGGCGGUACCUGAUGUUACAGCUGGUCCAGGGAAAGUGGCUGAGACGGAGGAAAAUGUGGCUUUGAAAAGGGGGUGGCAAAAACCGCAGGGAUGGAGAAGCCAAAUUCCCACUGAAUUUCACUGAUGUUGAAGUCUUUGACGUGCCUAAAUCACUACUGGGACGUGGGACUUAGGCACUUCGAGGAAAAAAAAGGAUAAUAAUCUCAUUAUCUGAACCAUCCUGGCUGCGCUGCCAGAAGGCAGCGCUUUCGAAGGUGAUCCGGCGCUUGUUGCAGGGGCAGGGAGGAGCGGAGGGGGAAACCAAAAUCUUUACAGGAACUUAAAUAAGCAGAAAAUAAAUAUACAACAUUUCUACAAGUUACAGCAUUAUGGAACAGUAGAGUGCAUUAAUUACACGGGGUGGGGGGUGGGGGAGGGAAGAAUCUACAGUAUUUACCAAGGUCAAAUCUAAAAAAGUUUAGGGGAAAAAAAAAAAGUAACUUUUUCCUUUUUUUUUUUUUUUUUUACUUAUUCAUAAGCUGUACAAAACUUACAUGAGAGAAAGGAAAGGAAAUACAUUGCACACAGAUAUUUGGCUCAGAUGAUGAAAAUAAUAUGGUGCCCUACUCUAAUAAAUAUUCAGGUAUUUACAGUUAUGGAAAAGAGAAGCGUUAACGCAUUGGGUGAGAUCGCCUGGGAAUAAAUCUGGUUUCCCCACAACCAAGGAAAACUCUUCAUCGUAUCCUUUUGGCAGAAAAGAGACCACAGGUUACGCUUAAAAUGACCCAGAGCAGUCAGCCAACGUGGCUAAAACGAGCAUAAUCACUAUUCUAAAAACAUCGUUCUUCUGUUUAGACACUUUUUGGUUUUGUUUUGGUUUUUUUUUCCCUAAACCUCACAACUCUACGGGGUUAAAACCUGGUUUUUGGGGGCUCAUUUUCCUAUGCCUAGCUUUCGGCCAGGAUCGCCUCCUGCGGAGAACUCCCAGGCGGACAGCGCCAAUACCUCCAUUUUUUUUUUCCCUUAAAAUUAAUACAAUUUUUGUCGCCAUCGUUGGCUGGGGCAGCCCGGCGGGGAGGACGGGGUAAAGUGCUCGGCAUUUCUUUGGUGUACUCCAAGGGACACAUUCUGGUCGGCGCGGUGCCGGUGGGAUGCCGGGAUGCUGUAAGGCUGCGAGAUCCGAAAGCACCGUUUCAUCCACCAGCAAUGGAUGAAACUCAACCAUAAAAAAACCCAAACUCGUUUGGUUUCCCAUCUGCUGCCAAAUUUCAUCAUUUUUUUUUGUUUUCCUUUUAAUUUUAUCAGCAGCCAUGCAAUUCCACGGAGGUUCCCAUGGGAAACCCGCGGCGGCAGCCUCCCUGCCAGGGUUUUCCUUAUAAACCCUACAGAAAAGAGGCGAUGGCUGGGGCACGGCUGGGGCAGCACAGCUACGGUGAGCCAAAACCAAGGGGACGAGGAGCAGGAACCUGCCCUGGCCAAGCUCCCCAGAGAUUUUAACCGCUCGCUCUCCACCAGUGCAAAGGUUCCCCCCACAGCCUCUCCAAAAUACCCUUUCCUAAACAUCCCCUGCUCCUGCAGCUGAGGCCAAACUCCUGCAACCCACGCUCAGUUUGCAGGUCCAAAAAUUGAUAAUAAAAUUAAUUUUUU